CGCAAGAGCUGCGUUUGGUCUGCUUGGUAGUGGCGUGUUUCCAGCGUGAUUGUACAAGAUUUGGAAGAAGACCCAGACACAGACACAGACACCACACCAACUGCUGUGUGAUAUCAACGCCAGGCAGAGGCCUGGGGGGAGCUAGGAGGCGAGGAACCGGGAGAUCGGAAGCUGUGGGGCAAAUGGAAGACCCGAGUGCUCAGCCCGGUGUCGUGUGAAAAGUGGGUCCAACGUGAACACGACUGAGCUGCGCGCCAACGCCGACUAAACAGGUUUCAAGCAAAUAUGUCAAGCAAAUAUGACACGAGCCGAGGACUCAACGCAACCCCUUUCACUUCGCCUUUCCUACUGCACGUGGAGCCCUCUGCGAACCGCGACGCACCGAUGUGGGCCCGAGCGUGUCCGCGGAAAACAAACA